rnacentral:lncRNA from 1 species
CAGCUGAACUCCCAUGGGGAAUGAGGAGAUGAGAAUGCUUAAUUCUUCAUUCAUAAUGGAGAGAGUCAGCAUGUGGAGGAGCGGACGGGUGGGUGAUGACUCAUGUUCCCUGCACAGGGUACAACCCCCGAAUAAGGAGGCUGUUCCUACAGGCAUAUAUGAAAACAAGGCUCAGGAUUGCAGUCACCAGCCGUGGAAGAUCUCUGACUCAUGUGGUUGAUUUCUAAUUCCUUCUGUGGCAGAGCCGUGCCCCGAUUAUGGCCAGUGUGUAAGCUUGAGCAGCUGAGGAGGACAGAUCUGGAGCAAGUUUCCCAAUUCUUUGAGUUUCAGCGUCUUCUGCCAAUUGGGCUCAUUCAGAUUAAGGUAGAAAUGCAUCAUUCAUCACACAGGAUCCUCAAUACUUACCAGGAAUGAUGCUGUGCUUUCCUCAUCUCUCUCAACCCCCUCUGCUUCCCUGGGAAAGAGGUAUUAUCACCAUCUUCAUCUGACAAAUGCAGAAACCAAGCUCAGCAAGAAGGUCACAGAAGACUUCUACUGUACAAUGAGGUUUCUUGAACAUGCAAGCCAUGUGAUCUGCAAACGUUUACACAUCAAUGGGAGAUGAAAAUUGCCCAAACCCCAAAUAGAAAUACAUAUAGAAAAGCUCACCAAGCUGGAACAACUGGACCAUUUCAAAGGAAAUGCAGUUUGAUUAUUUUCAAGUACAUACAGUAACCAGAAAAAUCACUAACAAGUGCUGGUGGUUC